rnacentral:rRNA from 1 species
AUGAGCACCACUUCGAGUCCAAGGCCGACUCACGCGCCUCCAAGACCUACCCGCAGCAAGCCGACGCCAUCCGCAAGGGUGGACACAUCGUCAUCAAGGCCCGUCCCUGCAAGGUUUGUGCCUUUUCCGAUCCGUUCUUACCAUAGGAAAGCUCUUAUGUCUGGUUGGUUGAUGGAUGCGUCUGGGAAUCUGCUGUGGUGA